rfam:Trichomonas vaginalis G3, whole genome shotgun sequence.
UCGACUGCCCGAGAGAAGGCGCCUGAGAGAUAGCGACUAUAUCCACGGGUAGCAGCAGGCGCGAAACUUUCCCCACUCGAGACUUUCGGAGGAGGUAAUGACCAGUUCCAUUGGUGCCUUUUGGUACUGUGGAUAGGGGUACGGUUUUCCACCGUACCGAAACCUAGCAGAGGGCCAGUCUGGUGCCAGCAGCUGCGGUAAUUCCAGCUCUGCGAGUUUGCUCCCAUAUUGUUGCAGUUAAAACGCCCGUAGUCUGAAUUGGCCAGCAAUGGUCGUACGUAUUUUUACGUUCACUGUGAACAAAUCAGGACGCUUAGAGUAUGGCCACAUGAAUGACUCAGCGCAGUAUGAAGUCUUUGUUUUCUUCCGAAAACAAGCUCAAUGAGAGCCAUCGGGGGUAGAUCUAUCUCAUGACGAGUGGUGGAAUACUUUGACUCAUGAGAGAGAAGCUGAGGCGAAGGCGUCUACCUAGAGGGUUUCUGUCGAUCAAGGGCGAGAGUAGGAGUAUCCAACAGGAUUAGAGACCCUGGUAGUUCCUACCUUAAACGAUGCCGACAGGAGUUUGUCAUUUGUUAAUGGCAGAAUCUUUGGAGAAAUCAUAGUUCUUGGGCUCUGGGGGAACUACGACCGCAAGGCUGAAACUUGAAGGAAUUGACGGAAGGGCACACCAGGGGUGGAGCCUGUGGCUUAAUUUGAAUCAACACGGGGAAACUUACCAGGACCAGAUGUUUUUUAUGACUGACAGGCUUCGGGUCUUUCAGGAUAUUGUUUUUGGUGGUGCAUGGCCGUUGGUGGUGCGUGGGUUGACCUGUCUAGCGUUGAUUCAGCUAACGAGCGAGAUUAUCGCCAAUUAUUUACUUUGCCGAAGUCCUUCGGUUAAAGUUCUAAUUGGGACUCCCUGCGAUUUUAGCAGGUGGAAGAGGGUAGCAAUAACAGGUCCGUGAUGCCCUUUAGAUGCUCUGGGCUGCACGCGUGCUACAAUGUUAGGAUCAAUAGGAC